AUUGAACGCUGGCGGCAGGCUUAACACAUGCAAGUCGAGCGGGGGAAGGUAGCUUGCUACCGGACCUAGCGGCGGACGGGUGAGUAAUGCUUAGGAAUCUGCCUAUUAGUGGGGGACAACAUCUCGAAAGGGAUGCUAAUACCGCAUACGUCCUACGGGAGAAAGCAGGGGAUCUUCGGACCUUGCGCUAAUAGAUGAGCCUAAGUCGGAUUAGCUAGUUGGUGGGGUAAAGGCCUACCAAGGCGACGAUCUGUAGCGGGUCUGAGAGGAUGAUCCGCCACACUGGGACUGAGACACGGCCCAGACUCCUACGGGAGGCAGCAGUGGGGAAUAUUGGACAAUGGGGGGAACCCUGAUCCAGCCAUGCCGCGUGUGUGAAGAAGGCCUUAUGGUUGUAAAGCACUUUAAGCGAGGAGGAGGCUACUUUAGUUAAUACCUAGAGAUAGUGGACGUUACUCGCAGAAUAAGCACCGGCUAACUCUGUGCCAGCAGCCGCG
rnacentral:rRNA from 1 species